GGUUAAGCGACUAAGCGUACACGGUGGAUGCCCUGGCAGUCAGAGGCGAUGAAGGGCGUGCUAAUCUGCGAUAAGCGCCGGUAAGGUGAUAUGAACCGUUAUAACCGGCGAUACCCGAAUGGGGAAACCCAGUGUGAUUCGUCACACUAUCAUUAACUGAAUCCAUAGGUUAAUGAGGCGAACCGGGGGAACUGAAACAUCUAAGUACCCCGAGGAAAAGAAAUCAACCGAGAUUCCCCCAGUAGCGGCGAGCGAACGGGGAGGAGCCCAGAGCCUGAAUCAGCAUGUGUGUUAGUGGAAGCGUCUGGAAAGGCGCGCGAUACAGGGUGACAGCCCCGUACACAAAAGCGCAUGUGCUGUGAGCUCGAUGAGUAGGGCGGGACACGUGGUAUCCUGUCUGAAUAUGGGGGGACCAUCCUCCAAGGCUAAAUACUCCUGACUGACCGAUAGUGAACCAGUACCGUGAGGGAAAGGCGAAAAGAACCCCGGCGAGGGGAGUGAAAAAGAACCUGAAACCGUGUACGUACAAGCAGUGGGAGCACAGGUUUACCUGUGUGACUGCGUACCUUUUGUAUAAUGGGUCAGCGACUUAUAUUCUGUAGCAAGGUUAACCGAAUAGGGGAGCCGGAGGGAAACCGAGUCUUAAUUGGGCGUUAAGUUGCAGGGUAUAGACCCGAAACCCGGUGAUCUAGCCAUGGGCAGGUUGAAGGUUGGGUAACACUAACUGGAGGACCGAACCGACUAAUGUUGAAAAAUUAGCGGAUGACCUGUGGCU
rnacentral:rRNA from 1 species